rnacentral:rRNA from 1 species
UAGGGAAUCUUCCGCAAUGGGCGAAAGCCUGACGGAGCAACGCCGCGUGAGUGAUGAAGGUCUUCGGAUCGUAAAACUCUGUUAUUAGGGAAGAACAAAUGUGUAAGUAACUAUGCACGUCUUGACGGUACCUAAUCAGAAAGCCACGGCUAACUACGUGCCAGCAGCCGCGGUAAUACGUAGGUGGCAAGCGUUAUCCGGAAUUAUUGGGCGUAAAGCGCGCGUAGGCGGUUUUUUAAGUCUGAUGUGAAAGCCCACGGCUCAACCGUGGAGGGUCAGUGGAAACUGGAAAACUUGAGUGCAGAAGAGGAAAGUGGAAUUCCAUGUGUAGCAGUGAAAUGCGCAGAGAUAUGGAGGAACACCAGUGGCGAAGGCGACUUUCUGGUCUGUAACUGACGCUGAUGUGCGAAAGCGUGGGGAUCAAACAGG